GGCUCUCCUGGACCCCCUGGGCUCAUCGGUCUAUGGAACAGCCUGGAGCAGUGGGAGCAGAUUGGGAGCCCGGAGCUCAGGGACCCCAGGGACACUUUGGAGCCAGAGUGUGCGGAGCCAAAGGCAAUAAAGGAACAAGAGGAUUCACGGACCUACAGGAUCCACAAGGUCCCCUGAGAGGUGUUGGGGACCUGGGUCCUCCUGGAGAGAAGGUAAUUAGGAAAGGGCUGAAGGGGAUGAAGGGACC
rnacentral:lncRNA from 10 species